UAAUUCACUCAUCCCCUCAUUGAAAAGCUAAUGUGUGCCGUUUCAUCAUCUUCAACUGACAUUCAUCUUAGUUCAUACCCUUCCUCAAAACUCUUCAUCUUCCUCUUCCUCUUCUCACCCACCCACCCCCUCAUUAAAAUCCUAAUUUGUUGAAGCAUUCAUCUUCAUUCAUGUCCGUCCUCUGAACUGUUCAUGUUCCUCCUCAUUAAAACCCUAAUUUGUUGUACUGGGUUGUAUCAGUUUUGUUCGUGUUUAUUUCCUUUUGUUAUUUGUAGAUAUGGGUUUAUUAUUAUAGGUUCACCAAAAUCUUGUCUUUCUUGGUUAUCUUCAUCAGAGAAAAAUUAUUUUGUUGGUCCUCCAAAUCCUUGUUUUUCGUUUUAUGCUUAUGUGCCUCCUUCUCCUACCAUUUCUGUAGAAACGGAUCCCAAUUGGAGAAGGGAGUUGAAUUCGAAGCAUGAAGAUAUUCAAGCAAUAUAAAGGUAAAGGACACUCCCCGUAUCCCGCACAAGGCAGGGUUCGAGUGAAGGUUUUUUUUCCUAAAAGAUGCGGACAAACCAUAUCUGUUCCCCUUAAGGAGGGAGUAAAGAGGAUGCCCCAGCUGACACUUGCGCCCAGUAGGGGUCAAACCCGAAACCUUCUAGUCAACUUACAGAUGCUCUAUCCAUAGAGCCACAACCGCUUUUAGUCACUGAAAGGCGCUAUUUAUUAUGAAAGUCUCUAUAUAUUUUGUAACAAAUAUUAUAAUUUUAUAUUGAUAACAUGUAAUUACAUCUUAAUAUAAAAUUUAUAUUUGUAUAUACUUUUAUAUUAAUAACUUCUUGCAUUUUAUGAGUUUUUAUAAAUUAAAUUGAUUUUUUACAUCAUGAAAUGUACUGUUAUAUUUGCGGUGGAACACUUAUUUUGCACCUAUAUGCUUUUUACUUUUUUUUUUCAUGUGAGCUCAUAUGUCACUUAUCUCUCACACUUCUCAUUUUAAGGCGUACAUCACUUAUGCACUCACAUUGUCACAUACUCCCUCCGUUCUUUUUUGUUUUUCUCAUUUACUUUUUGCACAGUUUUCAAAGUGAAUUUUGAGCCUUAUCUCUAAAUACGCAUCAUAAAAAAUUAUAAAAAAUAUAUAAUGAAAAAGUAUACAUUAACACGAAUUUAAUGAGAUCUCACAUGGAUGUAUUUUAUCAUCUAUACGUGUCUUAAAAAUCUUAAUCACAUUUCUCUCUCUAAAAAAGAAUAUUCUAAACGGGAACUAUUGGUGCAGUAUGAACUUUACUAAGCCAAACAACCUAUUUAUACUAGUGUUGGUCUUAUUUAUACUAUUGUUAGUCUUUUUGUCAAUUAAUGAAUUUGUGAGUGUGUUUCAAAACUACAUAUUUCCUCUGUCCAUUUCAGUUUACACCUUUUGCCUCAAAAAGCUGUUUAUAUUUGAGUUUUAAAGUGCAAACUCAAAUAAUCGUAUUUCUCUAGAGUAUUCUUGUUUAUGUAGUUAGUUACUUAUCUAGAUAUUUGUAUCGUUGUGUAUACUUUUUAGGUUAACUUUUAACAAGAUUUAUUCCUUUUAUCUGGAUUUUAAUGAUUUAAAGCUUAUAAAUUUAGACAAGUGAGGUGAU